ACUUUCAGCAACGGAUCUCUUGGCUCUCGCAUCGAUGAAGAACGCAGCGAAUUGCGAUAAGUAAUGUGAAUUGCAGAUUUCCAGUGAAUCAUCGAAUCUUUGAACGCACCUUGCGCUCCUUGGUAUUCCGAGGAGCAUGCCUGUUUGAGUGUCA
rnacentral:rRNA from 2 species